rnacentral:rRNA from 1 species
UACGUAGGGUGCGAGCGUUGUCCGGAUUUAUUGGGCGUAAAGAGCUCGUAGGCGGCUUGUCGCGUCGACCGUGAAAACUUGGGGCUCAACCCCAAGCCUGCGGUCGAUACGGGCAGGCUAGAGUUCGGUAGGGGAGACUGGAAUUCCUGGUGUAGCGGUGAAAUGCGCAGAUAUCAGGAGGAACACCGGUGGCGAAGGCGGGUCUCUGGGCCGAUACUGACGCUGAGGAGCGAAAGCGUGGGGAGCGAACAGG